CAAUAGCGUAUAUUAAAGUUGUUGCGGUUAAAAAGCUCGUAGUUGGAUUUCUGUCGAGGGCGGCCGGUCCUUACUAUGUAAGUGCAUCUGGUUCGGUCUUGGCAUCCUCUUGGGGAUCGUUUCUGUGCUUGAUUGCAUGGGGCGGAAUUCAAGACUUUUACUUUGUAGGAAAUUAGAGUGUUCACGGCAAGCUAUCGCUUUGUAAUACAUUAGCAUGGAAUAAUGAUAUAGGGCGUAAGUUCUAUUUUGUUUGGUUUCUUAGGACGUACGCAAUGAUUAAUAGGGAUAAUUGGGGGUCGGAUUCGUAUUAACGCGUCAGAGGUGGAA
rnacentral:rRNA from 1 species